rnacentral:rRNA from 1 species
UGGCCUACGGGGGGCAGCAGUGGGGAAUUUUGGACAAUGGGCGCAAGCCUGAUCCAGCUAUUCCGCGUGUGGGAUGACGGCCCUCGGGUUGUAAACCACUUUAGUAGAGAACGAAAAGGAGCUAUCGAAUAAAUAGCUCUGCUGACGGUACUCUAAGAAUAAGCACCGGCUAACUACGUGCCAGCAGCCGCGGUAAUACGUAGGUGGCGAGCGUUAUCCGGAAUGAUUGGGCGUAAAGGGUGCGCAGGCGGUCCUGCAAGUCUGGAGUGAAACGCAUGAGCUCAACUCAUGCAUGGCU